rnacentral:lncRNA from 1 species
UGGAGGUACGUUUUGGUCAAGCCUUGCCGUACUCUGAAGCUAGCCUUCCUGUGGUCAGAGCCUGGAUAUUUUCAUGCUGAGAGGAACUCCACGUGGUAAAGUUGAUGGCAUCAAACCUUGACCACAGCUGCCUUGCACAUCCACCCACACCAGGGGUCCAGGUGUGUGCAGCGGAUUCUUCCAACAUCGUUCCAGCUAGAAUCCAGAAGAUGAAGGACAGUGUCAGACACUCCAGGCAUCUCCAAGCAGAACCAUAUAUGGUCACUCUUUAACCUCUACCAACCCUGAUCCUGCCUGCUAACUCCUAGAAAGCCAGCAUGUCAGCUUCUAGUUUCCUUGAGGCGCCUCUGCUCUGGAGUUCAUACAUGAUCAGUGUCAGACAUCAAAAGCCCCAGAACUUCAGUCCCACUCAGAGAACUUUCUGCCCUUUACAGGUUUGUCUUACCAGACACAAGUGUUUUCUUCCAGGCCUAAUCUGAAAGAGCACAAUCACAAUUAUUUUCCAAGUGUUUAAUCUCCCUAAUUGAAACCAAAUUCCCUCCCCUCCCACAAGCAUCCUUAUCAUGGACUCUUGAAGACAACUGCUUGGACUUUAUUAGUGAAAAGCCUCAUGGGACUCUUGUGAGCCUCGAACAUGGCAGGAGAGCCCUGUAGAUGGAGUUAAAAGAUAUUUGACUCUCCAAGCAGGGACUUAGGCCAAGCAUACAAGCUCAGUGCUAAUAUCCCCAGUGCUGGCUUGUCGCAGGGGAGGUGGCCAGGUCACAUGACAGGGGCAGAGGUCCUAGGUGGAUUCUUAGCCUGGAAGGAAAAUGUUCUGCACUUUUGCUCCAUUGUCCAUAGCACACAUACUGUGAAACUGUUGGUGGUCCUGCCAGUUACUGCCUUGCAGACAGACCAUGGCACCCCAACCUGAGAGCUGUAGAAUGCCAUUUAGAAACUGGGAUGGGCAGCUGGUAGUAUUAUGAAGUCCCAAGAAAAGCCCACUCACUUACAAUAGGAGUAACCUCUGUCCCUCUUUAAUGUACAAGUUUUGUAACUCAAAGUUAGCCAAGUGUAUGCUGGCAAGCAAGAUACCUUGAGGAGACUUGACUUGGUAGGAAGCACCUGAACCACUCUCCUACAUAAGCCAGCAGGAGAGUUUGGCCCUUCCCCUCCCCUGACCAGACGCCCCGGGGCAUUUGUUGGACCAAGAUGCUGAGCAGGUGGACACAGCCGUGUCUUGCUAGCAGGCUCUCUAUAUUUCUCCUUCUUACCAAGAAG